rnacentral:rRNA from 1 species
GGUGAAAAGCACCCCGGAAGGGGAGUGAAAUAGAACCUGAAACCGUGUGCUUACAAGUAGUCAGAGCCCGUUAAUGGGUGAUGGCGUGCCUUUUGUAGAAUGAACCGGCGAGUUACGAUUUGAUGCAAGGUUAAGCAGUAAAUGUGGAGCCGUAGCGAAAGCGAGUCUGAAUAGGGCGUUUAGUAUUUGGUCGUAGACCCGAAACCAGGUGAUCUACCCUUGGUCAGGUUGAAGUUCAGGUAACACUGAAUGGAGGACCGAACCGACUUACGUUGAAAAGUGAGCGGAUGAACUGAGGGUAGCGGAGAAAUUCCAAUCGAACCUGGAGAUAGCUGGUUCUCUCCGAAAUAGCUUUAGGGCUAGCCUCAAGUGAUGAUUAUUGGAGGUAGAGCACUGUUUGGACGAGGGGCCCCUCUCGGGUUACCGAAUUCAGACAAACUCCGAAUGCCAAUUAA